rnacentral:rRNA from 1 species
GACGAACGCUGGCGGCGUGCUUAACACAUGCAAGUCGAACGGAAAGGCCCUGCUUUUGUGGGGUGCUCGAGUGGCGAACGGGUGAGUAACACGUGAGUAACCUGCCCUUGACUUUGGGAUAACUUCAGGAAACUGGGGCUAAUACCGGAUAGGAGCUCCUGCUGCAUGGUGGGGGUUGGAAAGUUUCGGCGGUUGGGGAUGGACUCGCGGCUUAUCAGCUUGUUGGUGGGGUAGUGGCUUACCAAGGCUUUGACGGGUAGCCGGCCUGAGAGGGUGACCGGCCACAUUGGGACUGAGAUACGGCCCAGACUCCUACGGGAGGCAGCAGUGGGGAAUAUUGCACAAUGGGCGGAAGCCUGAUGCAGCAACGCCGCGUGCGGGAUGACGGCCUUCGGGUUGUAAACCGCUUUCGCCUGUGACGAAGCGUGAGUGACGGUAAUGGGUAAAGAAGCACCGGCUAACUACGUGCCAGCAGCCGCGGUGAUACGUAGGGUGCGAGCGUUGUCCGGAUUUAUUGGGCGUAAAGGGCUCGUAGGUGGUUGAUCGCGUCGGAAGUGUAAUCUUGGGGCUUAACCCUGAGCGUGCUUUCGAUACGGGUUGACUUGAGGAAGGUAGGGGAGAAUGGAGUUCCUGGUGGAGCGGUGGAAUGCGCAGAUAUCAGGAGGAACACCAGUGGCGAAGGCGGUUCUCUGGGCCUUUCCUGACGCUGAGGAGCGAAAGCGUGGGGAGCGAACAGGCUUAGAUACCCUGGUAGUCCACGCUGUAAACGGUGGGUACUAGGUGUGGGGUCCAUUCCACGGGUUCCGUGCCGUAGCUAACGCUUUAAGUACCCCGCCUGGGGAGUACGGCCGCAAGGCUAAAACUCAAAGGAAUUGACGGGGCCCCGCACAAGCGGCGGAGCAUGCGGACUAAUUCGAUGCAACGCGUAGAACCUUACCUGGGUUUGACAUGGAUCGGGAGCGCUCAGAGAUGGGUGUGCCUCUUUUGGGGUCGGUUCACAGGUGGUGCAUGGCUGUCGUCAGCUCGUGUCGUGAGAUGUUGGGUUAAGUCCCGCAACGAGCGCAACCCUUGUUCACUGUUGCCAGCACGUUAUGGUGGGGACUCAGUGGAGACCGCCGGGGUCAACUCGGAGGAAGGUGGGGAUGACGUCAAGUCAUCAUGCCCCUUAUGUCCAGGGCUUCACGCAUGCUACAAUGGCUGGUACAGAGAGUGGCGAGCCUGUGAGGGUGAGCGAAUCUCGGAAAGCCGGUCUCAGUUCGGAUUGGGGUCUGCAACUCGACCUCAUGAAGUCGGAGUCGCUAGUAAUCGCAGAUCAGCAACGCUGCGGUGAAUACGUUCCCGGGGCU